GGUCCCAUAGCUCAGUUGGUCAGAGCGUCGUACUAAUAUUAUAGUUAAAUAUAAAAUUGGUAAAUGCGAAGGCCGUGAGUUCAAGCCUCACUGGGACCA